UGUGCAUUUAAGAAUCUUUAUGAUAUUAUCCCAACAAUAUGUAAAAUCCACCUUUGGACUCUCAAGGACAGAAAAGUUAUAUCGUAAUGAAUUUACCUCAAAUUCAAAUGAUGGAAAAAUUCAUGAUUUUAUAAGUUUUACUUUUAACAGUAAUUUUAAUGAAUUUUGUGUAAAAUAUUUACAAAUAUAAACAAUGAAAAUUAUUUUUAAUUUUAUAAAAGCUAUAAAUAAUUUUUUUCCUGCUUUUCCUGUGAAAAAAACGUAUUUUACUUUUUAUUUAGAUUUUGUUAGAAUUAUCUCCCCUGUUGCGCUCUUCUGUAGAGAAGGUAGAUAAUGAUUAUGUUUACGAAGUUUAUAAAGAGAUGUCUGUCAUCUAAUCGUUUUAGGUAUAAAUUAUGUGUGAUUUGAAGAAAAUUGUCCCUCCUGUGAAUGUAAUUUGUUACGUAUAAACUAGUGGCCUAUGUAUAAAAUGCAUAAAAAAUUUAUGAAAACCAUCGAGAUCGAAGUACGGUUCCGUAACCACGUGUAAACAUUAUGGUAUUCUGAGACGUUUUGUUACCGUUUUGUACGUCCUCAGAAAAAGAUUCAAGUGCGUGAAUUGUCAACGAGUCUUCAGAUUAUGGCUCUGAUUUUGAUGAAUAUGAUUCUGACAGCAAACAUUCAUUUGGUAGCAAGACGGAUGUAGUGAUGAUGAUACUGAGUCAACAAUGUUUGAAUUUGAAAAAGAAACAGAUAUUUAUGAAAUGUAAUGAAGAUCGGGCUACAGUUAUGAUUUUCGGCUUUUCAUAUAUGAUUAAAGGAAAAAGAGUUGUCAAAUACUUAUGCAGACUUUUCAAAUUAAAGGUCACCAUGUGUUCCUUGACAGAUUAUUCAAAUUCAUUUCCCUGGUUAGGGCUGGGCUUUACAAAGGGAUUUUCAGCUGUGGAGCUAUAAAGAAUUGCUACAUAGGGUUUCCAAUGUAAUUUUGUGAACAGAAUCCAGAAAUAAGAAGAGGAAAGACAAUGCAGAUGCAGCAUUAGCAUUACCAAUUACUUAUCAGUGCUGAGGAAAUGGUACAUGCUUUGAGUACUACUUUUUUGUAUUUGGAGACAGUCCAGUUGUUCUUUAAACCAGAAGUGGAAAUUUCAGUGCUUGUUAAAUUUUCUCCAGAAGUUAUUGGAUGAUACAUAGGAAGAAAAUGGGGUCAUACUGAACAGAAUAGUUUGGAUACACCUUAUAGAUUUUGAAAGCUUGAGACCUCAAGAUCAACCCAAAUGAUAUUUAAUAUGUAUCAGGUUUCACUUGCAGGAAUACACAGAAAUUCAGAGUAAAUUUUAAGUGUUUGUUAUCUUAGAAAAGAUCAAAGUUCAAAGUCAACAGUGCUUUAGUUUUACCAAAUAUAACACUAUUAUAAAGACUAACUUCCUGUAUACAGGUAUAGCAAAUAAUUCAGAAUAUGAU